GAUGAACGCUGGCGGCGUGCUUAACACAUGCAAGUCGAACGAAGAUGCCGGAGUGCUUGCACUUUGGCAGACUGAGUGGCGGACGGGUGAGUAACGCGUGGGUAACCUGCCCUGUACCGGGGGACAACAGUUGGAAACGACUGCUAAUACCGCAUAAGCGCACAGCAUCGCAUGAUGCAGUGUGAAAAACUCCGGUGGUACAGGAUGGACCCGCGUCUGAUUAGCUAGUUGGUGAGGUAACGGCUUACCAAGGCAACGAUCAGUAGCCGACUUGAGAGAGUGAUCGGCCACAUUGGGACUGAGACACGGCCCAAACUCCUACGGGAGGCAGCAGUGGGGAAUAUUGCACAAUGGGGGGAAACCCUGAUGCAGCGACGCCGCGUGAAGGAAGAAGUAUUCGGUAUGUAAACUUCUAUCAGCAAGGAGAAAAUGACGGUACUUGACUAAGAAGCCCCGGCUAAAUACGUG
rnacentral:rRNA from 1 species